rnacentral:snoRNA from 1 species
AUAUAUGCUGUGCAGGUAUGGCUGCCGUGUCACAUCAGUAGGUUGCAGAGAGGAGAGAGGCUAUGUCUAUGCUCAGUGUUUUGACCUAUGAACAUCUGAAUGAUUAGCAUUCCCUGAAAAC